UCGAAUUUAGAACUGGAAAGGACUUAGAAAUUAUGGAGUCCAAUACUCCCAUUUUACAGAUGAAGAAAAUGAGUUGAAGUGGUUCACUCAGGGGCCCAGAGGUGAGGAAUGAGGCUGUUAAUAUCAAAGCAAGAACUGGGGAGUUCAUCCAUAGUGAAAUGGGAGCUGGAGAAGAAGUUGGAGGCAGGUAGCAAAUGGCUACGUUUGCCUUCGGGCCUGAUCAUUCACUCUGAUAUUCAGUAUUGCCGUAGUGUGUCCACAUUCAUCAUCUAUGAGGCACAGAACUGGAGAGGCAGAUGAGAGACUGAGACCUGAUGUACUUCCCCUGGACUUCGCGUGGACAUAGGCAGGGCAAGGAUUAUCACCACCAAGGAAACCAAGACUGAGUGAAGUGACGAGCAUGAGGAUACGUGGGGCAGUAAACCGAGGGUCGAUCAGUCAACAGGCAUUGAUGCAAUACUUACUAUGUUCUAGUCAUCGUGCUGGAGCUGGAGAGACAAAUUAAAAAAAGGUGAAGCCAUCUCUACCCCUCCAGAAGCUUCUGUUUUAUGUGAUCCAGAACUACAGCCCGGGCCUUCUCAUUCCCAGGCUAACGUUCUUCCCACUACACUGCACUGCCUUUCUGUGUGGCCUUGAGCCAAGCCUUUCGUGUGCCUGGGCCUCACAUUCCCUUUCUAUAGGUUGAGGUUAACUACUUCCUAUAAGAGGAGGAUGUUUUAGAGAUUAAAUGAAUAAUGACGACAACAACAAUGGUAAUAACUAACAUUUGUAUAACACUUUGAGGUUUGCAAAGCACUUUAU